GAUGAAGAACGUAGCGAAAUGCGAUAAGUAAUGUGAAUUGCAGAAUUCAGUGAAUCAUCGAAUCUUUGAACGCACAUUGCGCCCGCUAGUAUUCUGGCGGGCAUGCCUGUCCGAGCGUCAUUUCAACCCUCAAGCCCCCGGGCUUGGUGUUGGGGAUCGGCGAGCCUCCGCGCCCGCCGUCCCCUAAAUCUAGUGGCGGUUUCGCUGUAGCUUCCUCUGCGUAGUAGCACACCUCGCACUGGGAAACAGCGCGGCCACGCCGUUAAACCCCCAACUUCUGAACGUUUGACCUCGGAUCAGGUAGGAAUACCCGCUGAACUUAAGCAUAUCAAUAAGCGGAGGA
rnacentral:misc_RNA from 1 species